GAGUUCUAAUCAUUCACUCAACUGCCAAGCCUACGGGCUACCUUUAUUUCGAGUUCGAGCAAUCACUCACUCGAUCAUUAAGCCUACGGGCUACUUUGAAUGUUACUCCUAUAUGCUACAUUUCAUCGAGUUCGAAUCAUUCGCUCAACUGCCAAGCCUACGGGCUACCUUUAUUUCGAGUUCGAGCAAUCACUCACUCGAUCAUUAAGCCUACGGGCUACUUUGACUGUUACUCUUAUGUGCUACAUUUCAUCGAGUUCGAAUCAUUCGCUCGACUGCCAAGCCUACGCGCUACCUUUAUUUCGGGUUCAAGCAAACACUCACUCGACCAUUAAGCCUACGGGCUACUUUGACUAUUACGCCUACGGGCUACAUUGCAUCUAGUUCGAAUCAUUCUCUCGACUGCCAAGCCUACGGGCUACCUUUAUUUUGAGUUCGAGCAAUCACUCACUCGAUCAUUAAGCCUACGAGCUACUUUGACUAUUACGCCUACGGGCUACAUUGCAUCGAGUUCAAAU
rnacentral:lncRNA from 1 species